ACCAAAUGCUCAUUUUAUUAAAGCAGGAGAAGAAAUACCCAGGCCUCUCUACCAGGGGACUACUCCUCAUAAAAAGGAAAGGGAAGGGGGUCUAUUUUAACUCUUAUUUGAAACAAUGAUCUUUCAGGUCCUUGCUGCAGCUGGGAGGAGUUCUGGAGAAAGGGACAUGAGGGAGCUCCAGAACAAAAGCAACCAGGUGACACUGCCAGAUGGUAAAAUCUCACACAAACAAAACCAGAAGUGCCUGUACGCCGCAUGGAGCUAACAAAGAGCCUACUCCAAGGUGGGGAAACCAUCUCCUUGUGUGAGAAACACAAGCCAACCAAGAAUCCAUGCCAAAAAGUCCUCUUUGAGCCAGUUCCAGGCUCAGAUGCAGCACAGCUCACAGUGACAACAUGCGGAGAACCCCAGCUAUGCAGAGAGCCCCUGUGGACAGGGAUGUCCCUACAGGGGUGUCCCUGCAUUGGGUGUUACCUGGUGUAAUGAAACCAGAUGUUUCCAUCGGAAUAGGCCUCCCUCAUUUGAAAUGUGUUGCUGCAAUAGCCUGAUUUGUAUAUCCAUCAGUUCAAAGUGAAGAAGAAAAAGAGCGGUUGGGGAUGUUAGCUUUGAGUAAUUCAGCAGGCUGGCCAGCUCUGCAAAGCAUGAGGAGAGUAAUGAACACAGGCACAGACUUAUACGUGAAAAAGACAAGGCUGUUCCUCGGCAGGCACAGUCUUUUUAUUGUCAUCUUAUCCUCGCGCACUUCAUAUCAUCCAUGAAGCUCUCUAACCAGUUUCUGCAGUGGACUAGAAAGUUCUUGUCAGGUUAACAAAACAUAUUUAUUGAGGCAUAUCAGCAGCAAUUUAAUAAAAAUAAAAUCAAAACUAAAAACACUUUCAGUUUUCAUUGUACCUUUGAAAAGCUU
rnacentral:lncRNA from 7 species